rnacentral:rRNA from 1 species
GACGAACGCUGGCGGCAGGCCUAACACAUGCAAGUCGAGCGAGAGGGGGAAGGGUGAGUAAUGUCAGGGAAACUGCCCGAUGGAGGGGGAGAACUAAUGGACACGGUAGCUAAUACAGCAUACCAUAUGAUGUGCCCUGGUGGGAGUGGUUAGUAGGUGGGGUAACGGCUCACCUAGGCGACGAUCCCUAGCUGGUAUGAGAGGAUGACCAGCCACACGGGAACGGGGACACGCCCCAGAGUCCUACGGGAGGGAGCAGUGGGGAAUAGUGGCCAAUGGGCGCAAACCGGAUGCAGCCAGGCCGCGCGUGUGAAGAAGGCCUUCGGGGUGUAAAGCACUUUCAGCGGGGAGGCGUUACCCGCAGAAGAAGCACCGGCUAACUCCGUGCCAGCAGCCGCGGUAAUUC